AUCCAAGGGGACUCCCUCUCCAAGGGAACAUGCAGUACCCCUCUCGGGAAAGUACUAACUUAGAAUAGAAUCUAGCAUGUCUAAGGUCUUUGGGGAACAGGGGAUGCUUAUUUCCUCUGCCUUCCUUGGCUGCCUACAUGG
ensembl:snoRNA